AUUGAACGCUGGCGGCAGGCCUAACACAUGCAAGUCGAGCGGAUGAAGGGAGCUUGCUCCUGGAUUCAGCGGCGGACGGGGGAGUAAUGCCUAGGAAUCUGCCUGGUAGUGGGGGAUAACGUCCGGAAACGGGCGCUAAUACCGCAUACGUCCUGAGGGAGAAAGUGGGGGAUCUUCGGACCUCACGCUAUCAGAUGAGCCUAGGUCGGAUUAGCUAGUUGGUGGGGUAAAGGCCUACUAAGGCGACGAUCCGUAACUGGUCUGAGAGGAUGAGCAGUCACACUGGAACUGGGCCGCGGUCCAGACUCCUACGGGAGGCAGCAGUGGGGAAUAUUGGACAGUGGGCGAAAGCCUGAUCCAGCCAUGCCGCGUGUGUGAAGAAGGUCUUCGGAUUGUAAAGCACUUUAAGUUGGGAGGAAGGGCAGUAAGUUAAUACCUUGCUGUUGUGACGUUACCAACAGAAUAAGCACCGGCUAACUUCGUG
rnacentral:rRNA from 1 species